UGGGGAAUUGUUCGCAAUGGGCGCAAGCCUGACGACGCAACGCCGCGUGGAGGAUGAAGGUCUUCGGAUUGUAAACUCCUGUUGACCGGGAAGAAUGGCCCCUGACUUAAUACGUUGGGGGAAUGACGGUACCGGUUGAGGAAGCCACGGCUAACUCUGUGCCAGCAGCCGCGGUAAUACAGAGGUGGCAAGCGUUGUUCGGAAUUACUGGGCGUAAAGGGCGCGUAGGCGGUCGCCUAAGUCAGACGUGAAAUCCCCAAGCUUAACUUGGGAACUGCGUCUGAUACUGGGCAACUUGAGUUCGGGAGAGGAAUGUGGAAUUCCAGGUGUAGCGGUGAAAUGCGUAGAUAUCUGGAGGAACACCGGUGGCGAAGGCGGCAUUCUGGACCGAAACUGACGCUGAGGCGCGAAAGCCAGGGGAGCAAACGG
rnacentral:rRNA from 1 species